rfam:Takifugu rubripes chromosome, Chr_17
ACAAAGGCUCUUUUAAGAGCCAUAUAAAUUCUUUAAAAAGGGGCUU